UACAGAGGGUGCAAGCGUUAAUCGGAAUUACUGGGCGUAAAGCGCACGUAGGCGGCUUGAUAAGUUGGGUGUGAAAUCCCCGGGCUUAACCUGGGAAUUGCAUUCAAGACUGUCUUGCUAGAGUGUGGAAGAGGGAAGCGGAAUUCCAGGUGUAGCGGUGAAAUGCGUAGAUAUCUGGAGGAACAUCAGUGGCGAAGGCGGCUUCCUGGUCCAACACUGACACUGAGGUGCGAAAGCGUGGGGAGCAAACAGG
rnacentral:rRNA from 1 species